AACACCGAUGAAGACGGAGUGGCGAACGGGUGAGUAGCACGUGAGCAACCUGCCCCGAAGACCGGGACAACACCGGGAAACCGGUGCUAAUACCGGAUGCCCCCACCGGGCCGCAUGACUCGGUGAGGAAAUGGAUUCCGCUUCGGGAGGGGCUCGCGGCCUAUCAGCUAGUUGGUGGGGUAACGGCCUACCAAGGCUUCGACGGGUAGCUGGUCUGAGAGGACGAUCAGCCACACUGGGACUGAGACACGGCCCAGACUCCUACGGGAGGCAGCAGUGGGGAAUCUUGCGCAAUGGGCGAAAGCCUGACGCAGCAACGCCGCGUGAGGGACGAAGGCUUUCUGAGUUGUAAACCUCUUUCAGCAGGAACGAUAGUGACGGUACCUGCAGAAGAAGCACCGGCCAACUACGUG
rnacentral:rRNA from 1 species